AUGGAAGAGACAGGGUGGUCAGGUAAGCCAACAGUUAAGGUGGCUGUUAUUAUUGAUGCUCCCAUAGUGCUUAAGCUGGUCAUGGAUCGCCUAAUUAACUCCUAGCUUGUGAUUCACAAAGGAAAACAACCAACAACAAUGUGGUUGGGCUGUCUGAUCACUGAUGUUUCUCUCUUUUUCAAUUAUCAUUGCGUUCGUCUUUCAUAUUGAAAAAGCUCGUUGAAUCCUUAACUCUUACUAUGUAUUUUGUGGCUCAUUUUUUCUGUACGUUCUGCAGAGCUUCUGAAAGAUCUCAUGGUAAAUUGAGAAAUCUGGGUUACACAUUGUAAAUUUCGUCAAAUCAAGAACAACCAUAAUUGAAAAUUGACUUCUCUAAACUCGAUUUUUUUGAUUUGUUACUUUAUGUCGAAUUUUAAGAAUUUGUGUAUGAUUUGGUGGUUACGGUGUGGUGAUGGUGUUGUACGGUAGUGGUGGUGGUCAACGACUCACAGUCGGUAGAUUUUGAUUAUGAUUUUGGUGGUGAUUCUGGUUAUGAUUUGGCAGUGGUGGUGAAAUUAAAACACGGAGGUGGUGAUUCUGGUGAAGGAAGAGAGUGUUGAUUUUGGUUAAUGUUUGAUUUACAUGGAGGGUUAGUCUGAUCAUCACAAAAUUGUUGCCUAGAAUUUCUCCGUAGUGGAAAUUGUUUAAGUCUCUUGAGAAUGUCUAAUUUCUCUUAAAGGUGCACAUGUGCGUUAUGGAGUAGGAGACUGGUCAUUUCUUCGAUGUCGUGAGUAUAUGGCUAAGGCAAGUGACAUAUACUUCUACUAAAGACCUUUCAUUUGCAUUAUGUACUUGCUGUUGGUCUAGAAAACAUCAUGGAACUGUGGGACACGUAUUGACUUCCAGAGUAGACCACAGUAUGUGAAGAUACAACAAGAUGACUAGAGUAUGGACAAGUUCUACCAUUAGAUUUCCUGGUAAGUGAACUGCAGUGGGGCUGGCAUCAACUUGUGUACCUGCUAGAUUUCCUGGUAAGUACUUUACUUGUACACUUGCUAGAUUCCCUUCUAUACUUAUAGCUAGAGAACAUACUCUUAUGCAGUUGUGCAAGAAAUUCAUAACUUCCAGUUUUUGUAUGUCAUCUCUUCUUGUUUUUGCUUACUUUCAACGUUUAAGUUCCAGAGUAGACCACAGUAUGUGAAGAUACAACAAGAUGACUAGAGUAUGGACAAGUUCUACCAUUAGAUUUCCUGGUAAGUGAACUGCAGUGGGGCUGGCAUCAACUUGUGUACCUGCUAGAUUUCCUGUUGUGCAAGAAAUUCCUGGUAAGUGAACUGCAGUGGGGCUGGCAUCAACUUGUGUACCUGCUAGAUUUCCUGGUUAUUUGAAUGAUGCUCUUUCUGAUCGGAAAGGCUGGAGAACAAAGCAGUGAUAAGGUGCAUUAGCAGCUGCAAGUUUUGUAAGUUUCUAUGUAGGAAGUUAGUAAGUUUCUAUGUAUUCCCUUAGAAAUUUGGAACUUACUAAGUUUUUAUGUAUUCCCUUAGAGUUUGAUACUUAACCAAAAAAAAUUGGUACUUGAGGAAAAAUUGGUACUUGAGGAAUUUGUGUACUUUUUUGGCAUGAAUUGGUUGAAUGUAAUAUGAAUUGAUUAUUGAA